UGUCUCUGCCCCUUCCCCGCACGUUCUCUCUCUCUCAAAAUAAAUAAACUUAAAAAAUAAAAUCUACAUUCUUAGCCACUAUACCAGUGGCUCCCAAAUUUGCACACAAGUCACCCGGGAAGCGUGAAAAAAAAAAAAAAAGCCCCAGGUGUUGUGAUUUUAUUGGUCUUGGAUGUGGCCUGAGUUUCUUUUAAAAGUUUUAAAAGAUCCUCCAGUGAUGCGGACGACUCUGGAGGACCGUUACAUGACGCCAUUCUGCCUCAUUACUCGGCACAUCUUUCUGCUGAAUUCAAUCCGCACCACGUGGAACCGCUUUCAGGAAUAUAAACAAGCCAGGGAGGAAAACAAAAAUCCAAUUCCGGUGGCGGCAAAUUAACGUUGGAAUGCAACUAACUGCUUAUAACUUAUAAAAGUUAAUGCAACUAACUGCUUAUAAUCGGUAGGCGCUAACAACAUGGGUCUGCAGCCACAUUCUUGCAGCGGUGUGGCCAGCGCCCCAGCCCCCAGACCCCGACUUCCUUCUUCCCUCCUAGGCUCACAGCAAGGCCACACUGCCGGGUUGGCUUCGUGCUGGGGGUGGUCACGUGACAGGAUUCGGACCAAUAGCCUGCGGGCAAACGUCCCCAGCUUCGAGGCUGGCCUCCUCAAUCCCCGCCUUGGGGGGGCGGGGAAGGGGAGGCAGAGCCACAAGAUGGGGGGAGCCGGGGGUCCUCCAGUAUCCUAGAGGAGAGCUGGCAGACAUCGGGAGCACCUGCUGGACUUGAUGUGAAUGAAAAGUGGUUGGGAUUUGGGGGGGUUUCAUCUGUCAUUAGUGACCAGUGUUCCCGGACUAGCAGACGGUGUGGCUGUGGGUGGGUCACUUCUCCUAAGCAUCGGUUUUGUCACCUGCAGAGCACGGAUACAGGCCCGCAGUGAGGCUUCAUGUUGCCUCAGUGUUGCUCAAAAAGCGAGAAAUCACCACCGCCUCCUGGCUGAGGCCCAGGACAGACCCAGAGCUGAAAGUGAAAGGGACACCAAGGUCCCUGUGGGUCUCCCCAGCCCCUGCCCACCUCUGCUGAGUCAGUCCCUUCCUUACAGCCUCCUGGGUGCCCUGAGUGGCCAUCUGCCUCCUGCCAGGACCCCCGGCUGACGCGGAGUGUGGACGCCCCAUGGUUGAGUGUUGAACACAGUCGGCACAUAGUGAAUACCGAACAGAAAUCGCAUUUUCAUCUAUUUUGCAUAUAUAUUUGUAUUACUUCUUAAAUACUGCUAAAUCAGGAAAAGAGUAAAAUUGCAUCGAAUAAAGGACUUCAAGUACUAAA